rnacentral:RNase_P_RNA from 1 species
GAAGUAAACCGGGUGGCCGCCGCCCAGGCAACUUUGUCUGGGGGGAGGAAAGUCCGGGCUCCAAAGGGCAGGAUACUCCGUAACGCGGAGCGGGGGCGACCUUAGGGAAAGUGCCACAGAAAAGACACAGCCUACCCGGCGCGCAAGCGCAGGCGGCAAUGGUGAAAAGGUGGGGUAAGAGCCCACCAGUACCGCGGGUGACCGGGGUAGCUUGGUAAACCCUAUCCGGUGCAAGGUCGAAUAGGAAAGCGAUUGAGGGCGGCCCGUCCGAUGCUUUCGGGUUGACCGCUUGAGCCGUCCGGCAACGGCCGGCCUAGAUUGAUGGUCACCACUUCGGGGCAACCCGGAGGACAGAACCCGGCUUACAGGUUCACUUCGCGC